CUUUCUGUCGCUCACGUGCUUCUUGUUUGGAAGGGAGAAAACAUGGCGGCGCCCGCAGUCGAAGUGGACGUAGUUCCUGUCAAAAAGCCUACAGUGCGGGGCCCUCGACGGGUAGCCAAUCAAAUUCCAGAUGAAAUCCUCCAAGACCCUGAGCUGCAGGAAGCCAUCAAAGUCCUGCCAUCAAAUUACAACUUUGAGAUCCACAAGACCGUUUGGAGGGUGAGACAAGCAAAAGUGAAGAGAGUCGCUUUGCAGCUUCCGGAGGGCCUGCAGAUGUUUGCUUGCGCCAUCGCCGACAUCAUAGAGAGAUUCACGGAGGCGGACACCAUCAUAAUGGGGGACGUGACGUACGGCGCCUGCUGCGUGGAUGACUUCACUGCCCGUGCCCUGGGAGCAGAUUUCAUGGUUCACUAUGGCCACAGCUGUCUGAUCCCCAUAGACUCCACUACGGGGAUCAAGAUGCUGUACGUGUUUGUGGAUAUCCAGAUGGACAAUGCGCACUUCCUGGACACAGUGAAGUUCAACUUCAAUCCUGGACAAUCCCUGGCACUUGUCAGCACCAUUCAGUUUGUUGCAGCAUUGCAGGCUGUGAGUGCAGCCCUGAGGCCAGAGUAUAAUGUGCUCGUCCCCCAGUGUCGGCCUCUGUCACCGGGAGAAAUUCUAGGCUGCACCUCUCCACGCUUGGAUCGCCACGUCGAUGCCAUAAUUUAUCUUGGAGAUGGAAGAUUUCACUUGGAGUCAAUCAUGAUCGCAAACCCAGACAUUCCUGCCUACAGAUAUGACCCCUACAGCAAGGUGUUCUCCAGGGAGUACUAUGAUCACAAGGCCAUGCGCACCACCAGGCUGCAGGCCAUCGACCAGGCUCGGCUGGCCCAGAGAUGGGGUCUGAUCUUGGGCACUCUGGGCCGACAGGGCAGUCCCAAAGUCCUGGAGCACCUGGAGUCAAAGCUUGAAUCUCUGGGCAAGUCCUUCACUCGAGUGCUGCUCUCUGAGGUCUUCCCCAGCAAGCUGGAUCUGAUUCCAGAUGUAGACGUGUGGGUCCAGAUCGCCUGCCCACGCCUCUCCAUCGACUGGGGAACAGCUUUCUCCAAACCCCUGCUGUCUCCGUAUGAGGCGGCUGUUGCUCUGCAGGAAGUAGGCUGGGAGGAAGUGUAUCCGAUGGACUUCUAUUCCAAUCAGAGCUUGGGGCCAUGGGCGCCCAACCACCCUGAAAACCAGCCGGCUCGGCCCGCUCGGAGACACGCCCAGAAACAAGGCACGGAGCCAGCCCUUCCCACCAAGACGUGCGAGCGGAGUCGGGGCGCCCCCUGCGGAUGUGAAGAGGGAACGACAGCCUCGUGAGCGCGGCUGUCAGUGAUUCAUCUCAUGCCUGCCUCUUUCUACAGAGAGAAAGAGGAGAGAAGAACAAGAAGAUAAAGCCUGGACGGCCAAGCAGCAGUGGGGCGGAAGGUUGCUAGAAGGUUGAAUAAGUCAUUAGUGAAAAGAAGAAGAAGAAAAAAAAAGAAGUGUUGUAAAGAGAUGACUAAUUCUGCGUAGGAGGUCAGCCUGUCCCAGAUUAUCCGGCCAAAGUGCCACCAGAACACCAGCCUCACAGACGUCGGCAUCUUUUUCAACUGACUUACUCCACAGUGCUGCUGUUUGACCUGUGGAGCUGCAGGAGAAAUGUUGAAACCUUAGAAACCAGAUUCUACAUAAAGCGUACAAAACCUUUUCCUUUCUCAUUCUCUGACUUUAGAUCAUACUAAUCGUUCCCUGAAUUAGCUUUCUUACAAUUUCUAAAUGUAUUUUGUUUGAUGAGGACCAGAAAUACGAUGGAGUAUUAGUAUUUUUAAAAAAUAAAAUUACGAGAAUAAAGUCGUAGUCCUACGAGAAUGACUUUAUUCUUGUAAUAUUUUAUGUCUUUCUUUAUUGCUUUACUCAGGUAGAAAUUUUCAAUAAAACUUUUUCUUUUUCAGACGUUUGCAUGCACUGAGAUUACCUUACCGUCAAUCAGUGUGAUAUUUAUAUCAUAUUUUAAGUUUGUUUUUGCUUAUUAUUCAGAGACUGACUUCUGUUUUUCAGUCUCUGAUUUCCAGUAAAUAGGAAAUGUGCAUGUAAAAUUAUUUUCGGGGAGUUUAAAUCCUUGGGGCAUGAAAGGAUUUUAAACUAAACUACUUUUUCACAUCAGCUCAGUUAUGAAAAAGAUCACUUCAGUUCUUUUUCAUAGAAAAUACUAAAUUGUUAAAUGGCUGAGCUGCUAACCAAAGUUUCUAUUAGCCACAUACCGGAUGCUGUUUAGGAUUGGAUGGAUUUUUUUUUUUUACUUAAAGGGGAAUCUUUAAGCCAAAAGCAAAAAAAAAAAAAGUACUUGAUCCAAAAUUAAUAACCAUAAAGUAACUCCAGAAAGACACAAACAGGAUUUGGUAGAUAACAGAUGACAUAAUCAGACUGUUUUAUCUGACAAUUAUUUUCAUAAAAAAUGCCACAUCUUCAUGAUGUUGAUGUUUCACCUUUGUUCUUUCAAAGGAAAAAAAAAAAUAAACACCUCAAAAACUUUUUGGAAAAAAUCUUCCAUCCUGUUUUGUUAUGCAUCAUUUUUU